UGACCCAGGGGAGUUUCCCCAAUGAAUUGAUGUGAGAAGACAUAAGGUAAACUAUUUAUUGAUUUUACCUCCAUAUCUGAAGAUGUGCCCAGAGCGGAAAGUAGCAGGAAGCCUAUCAUUUUCCUUCUGACUGCCAUUAAGUUUCAUCCAAGAAUACAUCAGAGAAGAUAGACACACAGAGCAGAACUCAGACAUACAGAGGAGGAGAUGAUAUGACCAUGACACAGAGACUGGAGUGGUGAUGCCUUCGGCCACAAGUCAAAGAAUGCCAAUAGCUGUCACCAGGUUAAAGAGUGCCCAUCUCUGAGAUGUCUUCUAUUUGUACUUGCUGGAGGAGCCAAUCAGCCUAUAUUUGGAAGGUA